UACGUAGGUGGCAAGCGUUGUCCGGAUUUACUGGGCGUAAAGAGCGCGCAGGCGGUCGAAUAAGUCGAAUGUGAAAGCCCCCGGCUCAACUGGGGAGGGUCACGCGAUACUGAUCGACUCGAAGGCAGGAGAGGGUAGUGGAAUUCCCGGUGUAGUGGUGAAAUGUGUAGAGAUCGGGAGGAACACCGGUGGCGAAGGCGGGUCUCUGGGCAUUCCCUGACGCUGAGGCGCGAAAGCGUGGGGAGCAAACGGG
rnacentral:rRNA from 1 species